UCUGAUGUAGCACGACGGGAAAUGCUUUGAAUACUUGCGACAUGGCCGCUCACAUUGAUUGCCAAGAUUGACAGCUCUGCAUCGUCUUCUCUUGUCUCUGAGAGAGAGGGAGAUAAAGAGGAUAGAUAACAACAAAAGCUCCUUGCAGUUUUGACAAUUAAACUUCAUAGAAAGAACGGGAUCCCCUCAUAUAGCCAGUGGGAACCACAGCAGACUUUAGUUCUCUUUCCUUUUCUCUACAGAUAGUAAUCGUUAUGUUUUAACGUAAUAUAGCGUGAAACACACGACUCGGGAUACGAUACCGUUAGGACCUGCAGCUCUCUUUUCUCGACUGAUCUGAAGGACUAUCUGCACGUGGACUUCAGAGGAACUUGUGGUUUUGCGAGAGAGAAAAACAUUUCCGAACUGGAUCCGGCAUAAAGAUAUCGACUCCCUGACGCAUAUGGUGCCAGUCACUUUCAUGAGUUCAAAAUCAACUAACCAGUGAUUGCUGGGUGCUGGGGAUUUAAUCUUUCUGUUCAUAUGGCCUGUGUGUGAUGUUCCAAAGACCUGCUCCACUCCCCUGUGCUCUUCUAUCAGCCAGACCUGACACACUCAUUCAUCUAAAUCCUAUGCAACUUGAAUCUACAUGUUUAACUCAUCCUAAAAUGAGGCGGUG